GAUGAACGCUGGGGGGUGCCUUAUUCCAUGAAAGUGAACGAACAGACGAGGAGGUUUGUCCUCUUACGUUUGCGGCGGGCGGGGUAGUUACACGUGGGAAAACCACCUAUUAGACCGGGGUAACUUCGGGAAACCGGGGCUAAUAACGGGUAAAUUUUUUAAACGGAUUGGUUCAUAGGUAAAGACGGGUUUGCUGGUACUUAUAGAUGGACCCGCGCCGCAUUAGCUAGUUGGUAAGGUAACGGCUUACCAAGGCAACGAUGCGUAGCCGACCUGAGAGGGUGAUCGGCCACACUGGAACUGAGACACGGUCCAGACUCCUACGGGAGGCAGCAGUAGGGAAUCUUCCGCAGUGGGCGAAAGCUUGACGGAGCAACGCCGCGUGAGUGAUGAAGGUCUUCGGAUCGUAAAACUCUGUUAUUAGGGAAGAACAAAUGUGUAAGUAACUAUGCACGUCUGGACGGUACCUAAUCAGAAAGCCACGGCUAACUACGU
rnacentral:rRNA from 1 species